rnacentral:piRNA from 1 species
UCCCAGACAGUGAUGACGACGAGGAUGAG